rnacentral:lncRNA from 12 species
GUGGAGGGAUCUGUUGUUUAAAUAGAGGUUUUCUCUGCAACACCAAUGUGCUUUCAUUGAUACUGGCUUUUUCCUUUCUUAAAAGUAUUCUACCAAUUGAUGUAUUUGCCUAGGAAAAAGCAAAAGCAGUUAAAGCAGGAAGUAAGCAAGCAUGACAGAAGAAUCACUUUAUACUGUUAACUUCUCCACAGCAGGUUUGAUGAGAGCAGUUUUCUGCCAGUUCAUUAAGUUAGAAGGGGUAAUCUUCCACCCAGACAAAGGAAGAUUCUGAAACUAGAGAAGUGGCCUUGAGGAUUUUCAUCAUGGUGCUGAGCACCUGGUUCACUG